AGAAGCACAAAACUAAGCAAAACUGCAGUUCAGUUUCAUUACUAACACUUUCUUCAGCUCUAAUAUUAAAACAUUUUCUUUCUACUUUUAUCUUUCAGUUGUCACCUUCUCUAGCAAAGCACCAUUUUCUUUCAUCAGGGUUUUAGAAAUAGCGCCAAUUUGUUUCCACCUCCUCUCUGUACAGCUGUGAUCUUUAAUCCCUGGUAGCAAUCUCUUUUUCUGUGGUUCCUGCCUCACUCUGUAACCCCUGCAACCUUGGAGCAAAUGAGUCUAUUUUUGUCUCUGGAGAUUUGAUGGCAGAUAACACAGUUAUUAGGGACAUCUUUUUCUUGCUCUAAUAAUGAUGAUCUGCCUUCAGUAAUUUUUCCAUGCCCAAAUUGCCAGCAAGGCUGGAGGAACACUCUGACAUGUUUUUCCUGGUGUGGAUCCUGGGCCAGUGUUCAAGCAAAGAGGUCACCCCUGUACCGUAUGUGACCGUGCAGCUUCCCUGGAUUGUGUUACGUGAAGAAAGGUCCAAUAACUCUUUCAACAACAAUUCUUCACUCAACGUUUGGUGGGGAGUGGAAUUUUAAUUUCCUAAUCAGCUGAUGUGAGCCAUGCUGUUCAGACUUCAUUUUAGCUGUCUUAGGAAUUUAGAAGGUUAAAACCAUUUCUGUCUCAGUGGGAUACACAGCUCCUGAUUCACUUUUUAUAACAUCACAGUUGGAUUAUUGCCACUUUGUGUUUGCAGCCUUCCUUGACCAUUCACUGUAUAAGUCCCCAGUUUGCACAAAAUUCAGCAUCUAGAAUGGUCACUUACAAACAUUAGCUUAUCGCAUUGCAACUGAUAACACUGCACUGGCUUCCUGUUAAAUGCACAGUUGUUAUCACAAUACUUACACAUUAUUCAUGUCUUGUAACUGAGACUUGCAGUUGCUUUUUGUUAAAAAUUGAUCUUUUAUUUAUUUAUUUAUUGCUGUCCCUUUUUUUGUAAGGUGCUUCCCAUCAGAGCUAUGAGAUUUUUUUUACUUAUUUAUUAUUAUUAUUCUGUCUUGACUUCUCUAGCAGAAGUUUGGUUUAAUUGUAAUGUAGUUUAAGUGUAUAAUGCCAUGUGUUGCUUCUGCAUGAAGUGUGCUAUAUAAAUGCAAAUGAGCUAAUUAAUUCAUAACAACAAGUAUUAUAACAACACAUUGAUUGUCAUGCUCUGCAGUUUCCAGUUGAACACUGUAUAUGUUUUGUUGGUAGAGGAAUUGCAGCAGGAGGGUUAAUAAUUUUAAAUCUAAGUACCCUUGGCUGUUUAUAUAGAUCUGGAUCUGUGAUUUUCCCUUUGAAUCCUAUACAGAAUUUAUUAAGGGAAUUUAUAAAGGUUCUGCUCUCAGUCCUAGUUGAUGACUUUCUUCUGUGUGAAUGUGGGAGAAAUCACUUUUUUUUUUUCUUUUUUUUUAUGCUUUCAGACAUCACCUGCUUAAGAAAUAGGGACAAUGAUUCCUUUUCCCCUUUGAAAAGUAUACGAAGAGAUAUGAUUAAAAUGAGUGAUGCAGCUGGAAAGUAGUGAACAUGUUAUAAAUUCUCAAUAAAUCAUGCUGAGUUCAGCUUUAGCCUCAUUUGCAUCAGAAUGUUAAAAAACCUGCUAAAAUUACAUUAUUACUCCUCUGUUUCUCAAAUGUUUCUAAAGCUAAGAUGCUCUGAAUUCUCAACAACCUGUAAACCAGUAUUUGACACAUAUAAAAUACUUUCGCUUCCAAAGCAGGAUUCAUGUUAAUAGCAUAGAGU